UUUCCUCCAAUUAUUAAUAAUUAACUCUAAAAUUACAAAGUUAAAAGAAAAACCCUAUUCCCUUUAUAGUCGACUGCCUGAAUAUCAAUCGCACCUCUGUCAUUUUUAUGAUAGCGAGUCUCCAUCUUCAAAGCCCACAGGUAUAUCAAUUUGCACAUCUUCCAUAUUCACCUUAGCGUUUCCUUAUUCACAUAGCUCUGCCCUAUUCUACAUCUUCAUGUAUAAAUUCUCUCUUUUAGAAUCUCAUGUACAUCACGCAGCUCUUCCCUGCUCUCCAUCUUCACGUAGAAAUUCUAUGUUUCAGAUUUUUCAUAUCAUGUUCUUAUUGAAACGAAAUCCUAUCACAUAAUAGCUGGCAGAACAUUUGGGUUAACUUUUGUUAACUACAUGAAUAAGAAUUGAUUUUGGAAUUCAUAUGAAGUUUGACGGUUUCUCAAUUUUCUUUUGUAUUUACAUUUUUCUGUAGGUUUUGACAGAAUUAAUAGUAUCGUACACUUUGAUGUCUUCAUCGGAUAAAGAUUCUACUUUCCAGGUAAUCGAAAAAUUGAUGUGAUUUCUUAUUUUGUAAACAUAGUUAUAAUGUGUUUACGAAGUAUGUUGUGUGAUUUAUGUCUACUAUUUAUUUGUUGGGCAAUUGAUUGAUAUGUUUGAUAUGUUUUUUGUUAAUGUAUUAAAUUCUCGUGAUUAUUAUUUUAAAUCUAAAACAGAACAUCAAACCAAGUUUUGUAGUACGUUGAUGCGUAUGUUCCAAUUGAGGAUGUUAUUAUAUUGGAAUUAAAUUUCAUAUCGAUUUCGGGAUUUAAUUGAAAAGGAAUGUUUGAUUCUUAAGAUUGUUUCUCUACGUUUAGAAACUGAGAACUGCUGCUUGUUUCCCUGUUGAAGAACUAGAAACCAAUGCGAAUCGAUGAAAUUUCAUUACUUAGUAUGUGAUAGUACUCUUUUACAACUAUAUAUUUUGUGCAAUUGGUAACUUGAAAAAUACAUUGUUCAUUGCUAAACUUUUUAAUAGUCGUCAUAAAUUAAAAUCUUUCAGUUUUUUUCUCUUAUAUUCUUCUUUUUUUCUCUGUUUCUCUGUAGCGCGCCGCUAGCUGCUAUAAGUUUUUUUUUCAACACACUGUCUGCAAAUUUUUCUAUUUUUCAUUCUGAUCUUCUGGAUGGAGUUGUUAGAAAUAAUUUAUGAAAUGAGUUAUAUUCUUGCGAAUAGAGCUGAAAAUUAUAUUUUGAAGUGAGAAUAUGUUUUAAGUAUUAGAUUUCAAUAGAAAGUUCAUUGAGUUGAAGAAAGGGAACUAGAUCAGUUUGAGCUAAGAAAAAUAAAAUAUAGCUACACUUCUAUCCAAAUACUAUUACUAUUGUGGGAAAACUCUCGAGUAGCAUUCUCAAAAGUGAGUUUUUUUCUCGCUUAAAGUGAGAAGGGAAGUGAAGUUGUAUCAUACUUUGUUUUUUAUGUCUUUUCAUGUCCUGUCUCUAUUUCACGACUUUAUUUUUGUAUAGUUGUAUCACUGUUUGUAAUAUCAUGAAGAUUGUAGCUUAGCUAGAAUUACUUCUAGAAUUUUGUAUAGCCUAACUAACCUCAACCAAUCAGUCUUAGGCAUCAGAAAAAAAAUUCUGCUCCUUCUCAUGGUGAUUAUAAUGAUCAUAUGUGUUUUUUAUGUGUCUAAACAUUGUGCAAUUAACCUUGACCUGAAAUUAUGUUAUCAGAUUGUGAUGCAAUGACUUUUCCUCAUCUAAUCGAUAUGUUGGCCUUGAAUUCAUUUUUCCUUUCGAAUACGACAUACUGACUAGGCCUGUAAAGUAUCUCAUCGAACCAGAAAUUGGUCCCCUGUAGGCUUGAAGUAGAGUUAGUUUUAUUGAUAGGUUUUCUUUGAAUAGCUGUUUAUUAGCAUUCUAAUUACUUAAGUCACUCCUUACACAGUGCGUCCUAUCCUUUCUCUGUUUUAAACUAUCUGCAUCACCAUGAAUUUUGCAUUUUUUAAUUGAGAUUACUCAUGGUUAUGCCUUGACAACCAUUGAAAGUUACCUUAAAGUCAUCUGCAUUGCUUCCGAUUGCUGAAGUGUUGUUAGUUCUGUCUAUAUGUUCUGUUGAUAUAGCUGAGUAUUAGUGGUCAGAUUACUCAUAGUAAUACUUAUAAACCUCAUCCCCUGAUUGUUUUGUUUAAGAUAAUUUAUAUUUCAUUGCUUCUGCACUUAAUUGAGAUAACUGCUCCCCUCUAGGCCAGUGCAAUAGCUCAUCGAACGAGAAAUUGGUCCCCUCAAGGCCUAUGGGCGAGUUAGUUUUAUCGAAUGAUUUUGUUGGUAUAGUUGUGUAUUAAUGUUCUAAUUACUUAAGCUACUCCUUACACAGCCCGUCCCAUUUGUUCUCUGGUUUAGACUAUCUGCAUCGCCAUGAAUUGUGCAUUUUUCAAUUGAGACUACUCAUGUUUCUGCCUUGCCAGCCCUUGUAUCUGCAUUGCUUCCAGCCGUUGAAGUGUUGCUAAAUCUAUUUAUGAGUUCGGUCAAUAUAGUUGCAUACUAGUGGUCCAAUCACCCGAAGUAAUCCUUAUACGCCUCAUCCCCUGAUUACUUUGUUUAAGAUAAAAUAUAUUUCAUUGAUUCCGCAUUUUCUAAUUGAGAUAACUGCUCCCCUCUAGGCAUGUGAAAUAGCCCAUCGAACCAUUAAUUGGUCCCCUCUAGACUGAAGUCUAAUUAGUUUUAUUGAUCGGUUUUGUUGGUGUAGUUGUGGGUUAGUGUUGCAAUUACUUAAGUUAUUCCUUACGUAACCUAUCCCAUCCUUUCUCUGUUUCAGUCUAUCUGCAUAACCAUGAAUUUUGCAUUUUCCAAUUUAGACUACUCAUGUUUAUGUCUUGUCAACCCUUGCAUGUUAUCUCAAAAUCAUGUGAAUUGCUUCCAACCGCUAAAGUGUUGUUAGUUCUAUUUAUAAGAUUAGUUGAUAUAGUUGUACAUUAGUGGUUUGAUUACGAAGUAAUCUUUAUUAACCUCAUCCCCUGAUUUCUUUGUUUAAGAUGAUUUAUAUUCCAUUGCUUAUGCAUUUUCUUAUUGUGAUCACUAUUGUUGAUGACUUGCAAGACCCUUGAAUUUUAUCCCAAAUUCAUCAAUAUUGUUGCCAGCCCUCGAAAAUAAGUUUGUUUUCUUGUUGGUAAUAGUGAUAUGCAGUCUAUGAUAAAGUAAUUUUAUCCAAAACAAAGUCAUUUAAUCAAAAUACAAGAAUUUAGCUAGAUUGUAGAAUCAUUUUAUGAAGUAUAACCAACAAAGUUUCUCAUAUGCAGAAACUCAUAAACUGUAAGUGGGACUUUACAGUUCAUUAAAGACCUAUAAGAAACAUUUAAAGGCAGUGAAUGACCUAAAUACAAUAGGAAAUUUUGGCAGCAAACUGAGACAAAGACUUGGAUGAUUAACAACCAUUUAGAUAUGGAUCAACCAAUCUUGACUAUAUUGUGCAGCCGUGGAAUAGCCCAUCGAACAAGAAACUGUAGGUUUUGUUGGUAUAGCUGUGUAUUGGCAUUGGUAAGGAGCAGUCCAAUGCAAUUUCAUCAUCUGCAGUCGCUCUAUCCCUUACUGAAAUUUCAGUAUUGUCCAUAGAAUGUGAAGUGUAAGAAAUAGAAACAUCUUUCGGCUCAUUGGUCAUGUCAUUCAAAUUUCCUGGUUCCAUAGUAGGGGACACAUUUAAUUCAGUCCUUGAUGAUCACUAGCAUCACCUAUGGGUUCUGGACUUGUUUAUUCUUUUUCUGUUUUGAGUGUUAGAAUUCAAUAUAAAAGGUGUUUAAUAAUCUUACACUUAAUGAAAAGGUGCUAAAUAAUCUCAGGUUCCUUCUACAUAACACUCAUUCAGGUCACUUUGUAUUCCCCAUUUCAACUACCUAUGUAAGUCUUAAGUGUAUACUGAUCGAAAGCUUUCAAUAAUUGAACAUUUAGAAGCUUAAAUAUGUAAGUAGGAACUACAAAAUCAUAUGUGGUUUCUGUAAUUUCUCCUUGAAUUUAAAUAUCUUGAACAACCUUUCAUAGAAUAUUCUUUACUAUGCAAGCUAUAUACCUUAAUGGUUUCUUUCUAACUAUAAAAUUGAAGAUAUAAUUUGCUAGUAAGAUAAUUAAGAAUUUAACUUAAAUAAAACUGCUUGUAGAAUAUAUAUUUGUUUAUAGCAUAACUAACCUCCACACCAUCCCGUAUACUUUCUAUAUAUCCUUAUGCAUCAUAAAAGUUUUGACCAAAUGAUAGAAGUAAACUUGAACUUUUAGAAAAGGUUCUCAAUUGUCUAAGGUUUUUGCUACAUAACAUACAUUCAGGUCACAAUCAUGUUAGUUUUGUACACUCCACUUUAGCCAUUUACGUAAGCCUUAAGUGUAUUACAAUUAGAAUCUCUUUAUACUUAACUAGCAAAUGCUUAAAUCUGAAAAUAUGAGCUACUACAAACUGCCUGUAGGUUCUGCAACUUGUUCUUGAACAUGAAUAUUUUGAGCAACCCGUCUUAUAAUAUUCUUUACUUUACAAGCUUUAACUUGAUGGUUCCUUUGAACAAUAAAUGGUAGACAAUUUGUUACUAAUAUAAUUAAGAUUUCAGCUUAACUAAAACUUAUUCUAGAAUUUUGUAGAGCCCAACUAUCUUUAUUAAACCAGCCCAUAGACAUUUGGGAAAUCCUUAGGCAUCUUAGAAAAGUCAAUACCAAAUAAUACUAUCAAAUUGACAUCUAAAGAAAAGGUUCUCAAUUGUCUCAGGUUCGUGCUGCAUAACACAUAAUCUAGUCACUUUUGUACCCCAUUUGAGUGACCUACGGUAAUCCUUAAGAGUAUUGCUAACCUCGGAGUAUAAGCUAGUUAGGACAUCAGAGAUUAUUAUAGACAAGGUUCCUCCAUGGAACCUUGAGAAAGAUUCCAUCUCAUUCUCAUGUAAAUAGACUCGAUGGAGAAGUUCUUCAUGUGUGUUGAGCUGAUUCAUUAUUUGGAUAAAUUAGUAUCAACUUUCUCUUUGAUAAUUUUUAUCGUUAAAAUGACAUCUUGUGAGUUAUGCAAUUACGUAUUGAUUAAUUCCAUUAUUUUUUACUAAUGUAUCCUUAGUUCUUAUAGUAACUGUUGAAAGAAAGAAUAUCUUCAACUUUAUGGAUGACUUGGGUUUCACAGUUGAAAAAUUUAACGCUUGGCUGAUUAUGGCAACCGAGAUCGUCAUGAACCUUUUGUUUUUGCAAAACAAGUUCAACAAGUAAUAUUUGUAUAAGAUCGUCAAGAACAUGAAUGGUUUGUCCCUAGAUUAACUAGACCUCGAGAUGUUUUUGAUAUGUGAGAGGAAAAUAGUGUGCAACUCGAGUCAUCAAUGCAAAAUGAUUCUACUGACUUGGGUAUCUUAGAAAAUUUCCAUGUUUCAGAUUGAGAAUAAUGAUUGGGUAAGGAGUGGAGUUGAUAUAACUGUUGAUAUUAGUGUUCUAAAUUCUGAAGCUACUCUGUCUACAGCGCGUCUUAUCCUUUCUCUAUUUUAGACUAUUGCAUCUCCAUGAAUGGCAACCAUUUAGGAUGGAUAACUAUUCUUUAUAAUCCAUCUAUAUCGUGCAGCCAUGAAGUAGCCCAUCGAACCAAAAACUUCUCCCUCUAGGCAUGUAGCGUAGUUUGUUUUAUAUGUAGGUUUUGCUGGUAUAGUUGCGUAUUGGCAUUGGUAAGGACUAGUCCAAUGCAAUUUCAUCAUAUGCAAUCGCUCACCCCUUAUUGAAAUUUCAGUAUUAUCCACAGUAGCUGAAGUAUUAGAAACUGAAACAUCUUUCUGCUCAUUAGUCCUUACAUUCAAAUAAUUGGUUAUGGACUAAUGACUUUUACUACAUCUAGUUGCUGUUCUUCAUCCUUAUUACUUCUGUUGACUGGAACUGGACUAUGCACUUCUUUUACUCAUCUGCCUGCUUCUCCUCAUCCUUACUACUAAGCUGACUAUUUGUGGAAACAUCUUAGUGGAAUCAGUCCUUAGUUUUAUCACAAAGUCAUUGGCAUUGUCUCCAGCCCCUGUAAUGUAGUUAGUCUGAUCCAUAUGUGUUAUUUGUAUAGCUGAUAUUAGUGAUAUCAUAUAAAGACAUGAAAUAACUUUAUAUCAUAAUAUACACAGGAGAUCCAAGUGGCUUUAGAUCCUUGAGUAGUUUUUUAUGAGAUGACAUAAUUCCCAUCUCUUGAUGUUUUUAUCAAUGUGAUUUCAUCUUUUGACACAUUUAUUUUAUUAUUUUCAGGUCAUACGGUAUGAUGUUCACAAAUUUUACUUAUAAAAUAUUUUAGUACGUCGAACCAUCAUGGAAAUUCUUUAAAGACAUUAUUUUAUUGGAUUGGUUAUACAAUGAUAUUAGAUAUUUCAUUCAAAUAAGUUUAGUUUUAAAAUUGUGAUACUAUAGUUUGGAUUCAUACUUUCUUUUGUUUCUCUAGGAUUAUGAGAUAUAUUAUGUUAUCUGAAUUUUAUUAUAUAUUUUCUAGCAUUUGACAAACUUCAUUGUCCUAUAAUAAGCUCUAUUUUGAUUAGAAUAUUGGAUUUACGAGUGGAUGUAGUCAUUACUAAUUGUGGCUAACAAUUGGUCACUAAAGUUUGACUUUAAGCAUCAAACUAAAUGAAUUUUCUAGCCACAAAAAUUAGGAUAUUCUAGCCUUUGUAAUUGCCACCAAAAUAUUGUCGUUAAAGAUUUGAACUUUUAGCGGCAAUUUUAUUAAAUUUAUCGACUUUAAUAAUGGAUGUUAUAUAAGCGUGAUUGUCGUUUAAAUUUGAUUUAACAACUAUUUUAAUUGCCACUAGAACUAAUGCAUUUUAGUGGCAAUUAAGUAGGAUUUGCCAGCUAUAAAAAUGGACACUAAACAAGCAUAACUAACUAUUUUUAUUGGAUUUAACAACCAUCUAAAUUGCCGCAACCAAUUAUCGCUAGAACAAAUGUGUUUUAGUGGCAAUUUAGUUAUUUUUAUCAACUAUAAAAAUAAAAAUAGACGCAUGAGAAUAACUAACCGCUUAGGAUUUGAUUUGGCAGCCCUAUAAAUUGCCACAUCAAAUUGCCACUAAAUCGAAUGAGUUUUAGCGGCAAAAGAGAUUGGCUUUACAAUCUUUUGUCGAAAAGGCUGCAAAAGCCUUAUUGACCUUUGAUACAGCGGUCAAAGUACAUUAGCUCGUAAUGGAUAUAGCCACCAUAGUUAUGGCUGCUAAUGCCUUUUUAAUUGCCACUAAAUCCCUUUUAUCUUGUAGUGUAUAAUGCUGAGAUACCUUCUCUUCAGUCAGUUCCUAUAUAAAAGAGUUUAUAGAAGUCUUUUAUGAUGAUCUACCUGAAGUCCCUCCUGAAAGAAAGAUAGACUUUGGCAUAGAUCUUCUUUGAGAUACUCGUCCUAUCUCUAUUCUACCAUAUAGAAUGACACCAUUAGAGUUAAAAGAGUUGGACGAACUAUUGAAAAAUCUGUUGGAUAAUGAUUUUAUCCGACCAAGUGUCUCUCCUUGAGGCGCUCCGGUCUUGUUUUUUAAGAAAGAAGGAUGGUACAUUAGGAUGUGUAUGGACUACCGCCAAUUGAAUAAGGCGACCAUCAAGAAUAAGUAUCCUCUUCCAAGGAUAGAUGAUCUUUUCGACCAGCUUCAGGGUGCUUUCUGCUUCUCGAAAAUUGAUCUCAGAUCAGGUUACCAUCAGUUGAAAGUUAGGGAAUGUGAUUUCCCAAAGGCAAUUUUUUUAGAACCAGAUAUGUGCAUUAUAAGUUUUUGGUUAUGUCCUUUGUUUGACCAAUGUGCCUGCAACCUCCAUGGAUCUCAUGAAUAGAGUCUUCAAACCUUAUUUAGAUAUGUUUUUUUAUCGUCUUCAUUGAUUACAUACUAAUUUAUUCAAGGAAUUAAGAAGAUCAUGCUAGUCACCUCAGGAUAGUUCUUCAAACUUUGAAAGAUAAGGAGUUAUACACCAAGUUCUCCAAGUGUGAGUUUUGACUUAAGUCUGUGGAAUUCUUAGGCCACAUAGUUUCCGGUGAUAGAAUUAGAGUGGAUAUCCAAAAAAUAGAAGCAGUUUAAAGUUGUCCUAGACCCAUAUCUCCUACUGAUAUUAAGAGUUUCUUGGGUUGGCUGACUACUACAAAAGGUUUGUUGACGGGUUUUCAUCUAUUUCGUCUCUGUUGACCAAGUUGACUCAGAAAACAAUUAAGUUUGAAUGGUCUGAAGCUAGUGAGAAAAGCUUCCAGGAGUUGAAAAAGAGGUUGACUUCUAGUGUAUUAUGAUGUAUCAUGAGUUGGUUUGGGCUGUGUGUUAAUGCAGAAUGGCAAGGUUAUAGCUUAUGCCUCCAGAUAAUUGAAGUUCCAUAAGAAGAAUUAUCCAACCCAUGACUUUGAGUUGGUUGCCGUAGUUUUCACCUUGAAAUUAUGGCGCCAUUACUUGUAUGGUGUUCAUAUUGACAUAUUCACUGACCACAAGAGCCUACAAUAUGCGUUCGCCCAGAAGGAGCUAAAUCUCAGACAAAGGAGGUGGUUAGAACUACUCAAAGAUUAUAAUAUGAGUAUUCUUUAUCACCAGGGAAGACUAAUGUGGUUGUUGAUGUCUUAAGCAGUCUAUCCAUGGGGAGUACCUUCCAUGUUGAGGAAGAAAAGAGGGAGUUAGCUAAAGAUGUAUGGAUUCCAAAGAAAGGGGAAUAGUGGUGACCAAUGGGGCUGAAUCAUUAGUGUCAGAGGUGAAAGAGAAGAAAGACCAAGACCACAUUUUUCUUGAUUUGAAGGUGAAUGUUCAUAAGCAAAGAGUAUUGGAUUUUGAACAAGGGAGAGAUGGUAUACUGAAGUAUCAAAGUAGAUUGUGUGUACCUAGGGCGGAUGGACUCAAGCUAAGAUCAUGGAGGAGGCUUAUAGCUUCACAUAUUCCAUUCAUCCGGGUUCCACCAAGAUAAACUGCAAUACGAGAGAAGUAUAUUGGUGGGAAAGUACGAAGAUGUUCAUUGUUGAAUUUGUUCCAAAGUACUCGAAUUGCCAGCAAGUGAAAGUAGAAUACCAUAGACCUGGUGGUUUGGCUCAGAACAUUCAACUUCCGGAAUGUAAGUGGGAGAUGAUUAAUAUGGACUUCAUCAGAGGCUUACCAAAGUUUUGCAGACAACAUGAUUCAAGUUGGUUGAUUGUUGAUAGAAUGACAAAAUCAGCCCACUUUUUGCCGGUAAAGACUACCCAUUUGGCCGACGAUUAUGCUAAGUUGUACAUUUAAGAAGUGGUAAAACUUCAUGGAGUUCCGUUCUCCAUUAUUUCAGAUAUUUGCAUAAUUUACUGCACAAUCUGGAAAUCUUUCCAGAAAGGUUUGGGUUCAAAGGUGAACAUAAGGAUUGUUUUACAUCCUCAAAUAUAUGGACAAACAUGGCGUACUAUCUAGACCUUAGAAGACAUGUUAAGAGCUUGUGUGAUUGAUUUCAAAGGUAAUUGGUAUGAUCACCUACCUCUGAUUGAGUUUGCCUACAACAUCAGUUAUCAUUCGAGCAUCCAGAUGGCUCCAUAUGAAGCUCUUUAUGGAAGAAGAUGCAGAUCUCCUAUAGGGUGGUUCGAGGUUGAUGAAGCAGGGUUGAUAGGACCAGAUCUAUUUCACCAAGCUAUGGAAAAUGUGAAAGUGAUUCAAGAGAGGUUGAAAACGGCACAGAGUCGCCAAAAGUCCUACACAAAUAUAAGGAGAAGGUCGUUAGUAUUUGAGGUGGAUGAUUUGGUAUAUCUUAAAGUUUCACCCAUGAAGGGUGUUAUGAGGUUUGUAAGAAGGGGAAACUUAGUCCCCGGUAUAUGCGACCUUAUAGACUAUCCAAGAGAGUUAGCAAUGUAGCUAAUGAGUUGGAACUACCAAAAGAGUUAGCAACGGUUCAUCCGGUAUUUCAUAUUUCUAUGUUGAAAAAGUGCAUGGGUGAUCCUUCAUUGACUGUACCAACUGAGAAUGUUGGGAUUAAGGACAGCUUAUCGUAUGAAGAGAUUCCGGUUUAAAUUUUGGAUCGUCAAGUUUGCAAGUUGAGAAAAAAGGAAAUUGCAUCAGUCAAAGUCCUUUGGAGGAAUCAAUUUGUUGAAAAAGCAACUUGGGAUAGCUGAGGAUGAUAUGAAGAAGAGAUAUUCACAUCUCUUUGAAUACGGAGAGAAUGUCAAUCGAUGUACUAAAUUCUAUUCUUAGCACUUUAUAAGAUUAUGUGUAAGCAUGUUAUUACUUGUUUUUGUUUGUUGAGUGCUGAAAUAAUGUUACUAUCAUUAACAUAGUGAAAGAAAUCUCAUUCAAAGAUGAAUGCUCCCAAGAGGGAUAUAUUGUAACAUCUCGUAACUUGAAAUAGCUAGGAAUAAGCUAAAAACACCAAAAUAAUAACUUUUGGAAAGAAAGGGAAAAAUCUAGACAAUUUCUUAAGUUUAAAAAGUGAGUUUUGGUCAUUUUCAAACAGUCAUAACUUCUAACUCAGGGUAAGUUAGAUUCAGUUCUUCAUAUGGUUGUAAAUCCCUUUAAAAGAUCAUUCCAACGGUGCCGAGUUUGCUCGAUUCUGAUGCCGUAUAAGGGAGAUAUGCCUUUUGGAAGUUGGAUUAUUGGAUUGAGAAAGUCCCAAUGCGGAUUUUAGUAAGGGUAAAUUAGUAUUUUUAACCUACUAUUUACUAAUUUGUUUUAAGGGUUUAUUAGGAGUAAAAAUAAGCCUUAAGUUAGUUUUAGAAAAUAAAUUCACGCUUAGGGCUUGGGAGAAAAGAGAAGAAAGCAAGAUUAAGAAUCCAUCAAGAAUGACAAGGAUCCUUGUGGAAUUCAUCGAUGGUGAUCCCUAUUAAGGUAUGUGAGAUCAUUAUGUGUUAGGUUAGUUCACCCACACACCAACGUGUUUAAAAUCAGUGAAUUUUCAGUAAAUUGAAUGACGAACAUUGAAGUUCUUGAUGAACAAUUGUUGAAUUCUAGUUGGUUGAGUCGGAGCAUACAUUUAGUUGAUUUGAUUCGUAAUUCUAGGUUUUUUUCAAGUCGAAUUUAUUGGGUACUGAGGGUAUUAGUGAUACUAAGUGUUUAGGAAAAUAUCCAUGGAAUAUGAGAAGGUUUAGAGAGGAAAAACGAAGAAGAAAAAUCAGAAUUCCCGUCUGACAAACCCUGGGGCGUCGCGCUUGCCAAAGCCCCUCAGGGCAGGCUCUGUCCGACAAGCCCUAGAACCGCGCCAGCCAGAGCGCCUCAGGACAGAGUCUCUCUGUCAGGCUCUGGCGCCGCGUGCCUCUCAGAGUGACAGGAUUGUGUGGAGAUCCUAUUCUUCCCCCAUCUUUUCGUACUAGUUCAUAAGUGAUGUACCCACGUUUCUUAGUUGAUUCCAACACUCUAAGGUACAUCUAAACAACAUGAAUCAUCCAUAAACAUGAGAUCAUGAACCUUGAAUCCAUAACCCAAUUCAACAAAAGUUAAGAUCUAAGUCAAAAAAGUAAAGAGUUAAGUCUAAAAGCUAAGAAAUAAGUCAAAGAAAAACUCUUAAAGGUUUUGAAAAGUCUUGUUUAAACAUUUUAAUUAUGUUUUUAGACUUAAGUUUUAAGAUAAGUAAAUAGUAAGUUGAAGUCCUUUUCUUCAAAGGUAUAUAGGGACUAAGUAUUCCCAAAGAGACUUAAAAUGUUGCACAUUUAAAUUAGUAAGGAAACUUUGAUUCCGAGGAUCCUUAAGGUAAACUUUUAGAAAAGAACUAUAGCUUUCUAAAAAAGAAGCAAGUAGGGAAACUUGAUUUCCAAGAUAGCCUUGAGAUAAGUAUUUUGAUCACUAAUAUCAAACCACAUAAUCAGUAUGUUUUUAAAAUAUAAGAGCCAACAUAUUUUUGGGAGUAGUACUGAGCACUAAUAUGGAGGAAAGUUCACAAAACUCACAGCCCCCAUAAACCAUGUAGCCACCAUGGGUAGAAAAAGUUCACACAUUUUAGAUGAACCCUUUUCACAGUAGACUAGUUGACUAAUUAGAUAGUUCAGGUCUUAUACCUUUGGCCGGGUAUAGGAUGCACUGGCAGCAUGAGGUAGAUCGUUGUAUCAGCUCUUUAAUAGUUGUCAGUUAGAGAAAUUGCCACAUAAUUUAUUGUAUUUUAUAUACAUCAGUUUACCUGUAUUGUAUCUUGCAUACAUUAAAAGGUUAUGAAGGAAUAUUGAUUGUAUUGAAGUGUUAACCUCAUAAGGGAAUACAUGGGAGAUAUAUAUAGGAGAUAUAGGAAGGAGUACUAAUCCUAAUAGGACUAGGAUUAAGGAGUACUAAUCCUAAUAGGACUAGGAUUAGUACACAGUAAAUACUAAUAUUAUUUAAUACUAUUUAUUUAAUACUAUAUUUUAUUAUCCCCCCUCAAGCUGAGCAGAGCGGAAGCGAACGGAAGCUUGGAACUGAGGUAAUCGUGCUGUCGGCUCGGGAGAGGCUUGGUGAGAAUAUCAGCCGGUUGUUCUUCAGUGGGUACAUACUGCACAGUCAUGGUGCCGGCCUGAACUUCAUCGCGAACAAAGAGACAAUCGGUAUCAACAUGCUUCAUUCUGGUGUGUAGGACGGAAUUCUUGGCCACACAGAUGGUUGAUUUGUUGUCACAAUAGAGAGCAUGAACAGUGUGAGUGGCGUGGAAUUCACGAAGAAUAUAUCUGACCCACAUGGUCUCAGCAGCAAGAAGAGCGAGGGCGCAAUAUUCAGCUUCAGUCGAGGACCAAGAGACCUUGGGUUGUUUUUUUGUACACUAGGAGAUCAUGUUCGGCCCCAAAAAAAUGAGAAACCCCGAUGUAGAUUUUCUGUCAUUUUUAUCAUUCACCCAAUCUGAAUCUGAGAAAUCCCGAAGCUCCAAGUCCCCAUGUCGAAUGAGCAAACCACGACCAAGAGUGCCAAAAAUGUACCUGAGAAUGCGUUUUAGACAAUGGUAAUCAUGUUCACUUGGUUGAUGCAUGCGCUGAGCAACUCGGUUGACAGCAAACUGGAUGUUAGGACGGGUAAUGACCAGAUACUGUAGAGCCCCAAUGAGGCUGCGGAAGUGGGUGAUAUCGGCAAAGGGGGUGUCGGCUCCAUUCAUAGAUGAAGAGACUGCCAUCGGUGUUGGUUGACUGGUGCAUUUUUAGUCCAGCAUUCUGCAACAGAUCUCGAGCCUAUUUUGACUGAUGAAGAAACAAGCUGCUGCCUGUCCGAGAAACCUCCAUUCCCAGAAAAUAAUGUAACGGACCAAGGUCCUUCAUUUUGAAGGUAGUAUGCAUAGCUCGAUUGACAUCCUGAAUGAGAGCUGCAGUGGAGCCUGUAAUAGUGAUAUCAUCUACAUAGACAAGAAGAAUGACUGUACCGUGUGCUGAAUGUCGAGUAAACAGACUCGUGUCGUGUACGCAACACGUGAAGCCGAGUCCCUGGAGGAACAUUUUCAGACGUGUGUACCAAGCACGGGGGGCUUUCUUGAGCCCAUACAGAAACUUCUGGAGUUUGCAAACAUGUUGAGGGAAGCGGGGAUCAACAUAGCCCGGUGGUUGCGUCAUGUAGAUAGUUUCAUCAAGCAUGCCAUGAAGAAAAACAUUGGAAACAUCCAACUGAUUGAUGAUCCAAUUGUUGCGCACAACGAGUGACAAUACCAGGCGAAUGGUUUCCUACCGAAUAACAGGACUGAAUCUCUCGGAGUAAUCAAGCCCAUACUCCUGAUUGUAGCCUUUAAAAACCAAACGAGCCUUGUACUUGGAAAUACUGCCAUCUGCAUUGUGUUUAAUUUUGUAAACCCAUUUACAGCCCACUGGGUGUCGCCCAUGGGGCUGAGGUACAAGAGCCCAAGUUUUCUGAUCAGUCAAAGUCUUAAACUCGUCAUCCAUAGCAUGACGCCAAUAAGCAUUUUUUGAGGCAACAGAGUAGGUUGUUGGUUCAUUAUCGGGAAGGGGUGUAUUUGGUAGUAUGGUAGCUUGAAAGGUUUUGGGUUUAAAGAUACCGGCUUUGCCACGGGUUAACAUGGGAUGAGUAUUGGGGGGUGGUACGGGCGGUGGUGAUUCGGGGGUGGCCGGGAUGGACCCAAAACGGAUCGGGCUGGAGAUGUUGUGGGUAUGGGGUGGUUCGGGUUGGUUGUGACUGUGGGUGGUGGCUGCGGGUGUAUUGUGGAUGACGGUCGAAGGGGUGAUGAGGGGUGGUUGGGUAGUGGGUGGAGGUGUGGGGGAAGGUGGUGAGGGACCCUGUGAGUAUGUUGGAAAAAGGGGAAGGACGCCAAUGAAUGAUGUAUUUGUGGAGGGGGAAAUAGACUCGUAGGGAAACUCAUUUUCGACAAAUUUGACAUGAUGAGAUAUGUAGACUUUAUGAGUUUGUGGGUCAAGACAGCGAUAACCCUUGGAGGUAGGAUGAUAGCCCAAAAAAAUACAAGGACGGAUCGGGGUUGUAAUUUGUGAGUAAUAUGAGGGCGUAGCCAAGGGUAGGCAAGACACCCAAAGACGCGGAGGUUGGUAUAAUUGGGAAGUUCUUGGUAAAGGAGUUGAUAGGGUGAUUUGUUGGAGAGAGUGUGACUGGGCAUUCUGUUAAUGAGGUAGUUUGCGGUGGCUAGAGCUUCUAUCCAAAAGGAGACAGGGAGAUGAGAUUGAUGUAGAAGAGUAACCACCAUUUCAAUGAGAUGGCGAUGCUUACGCUCAGCCACCCCAUUCUGUUCGGAAGUGUAUGGACAGGAUGUUUGAUGUAUAAUUCCCAGGGAUUGCAGAAACUGGCCAAAAAUGUUAUUGACAUAUUCCUUUCCAUUGUCACUUCGAAAAAGUUUAACAUGAGAAUUGAAUUGUAUUUUGACCAUUUUUUCAAAAGUGACAAAGGUGGUGUAUGCCUGUGAUUUGUGUUUUAGUGGGUACAACCAAGUGUAUUUUGUAAAAUCAUCCACAAAACAAAUAUAAUAGCGAAAACCAGCAAAUGAAGGAACAACAGUAGGACCCCAUAGGUCAGAAUAAAUAAGCUGAAAAGGUGCAGUUGUACGCUUCUUAGAUAAAGUAAAAGGUAAUUUAUGAGAUUUAGCAAUUGAACAGGAGUCACAAUUGUUCACAUGAAUGGAAGAAAAACCUAAUUGAGACAUUAAAGAAUUUAUUAUUUGAGUAGACGGGUGACCCAGACGACUGUGCCACAACAGACUGUGGCCAUCAGCCGAAAGAGCCACCGGAGCCACAGGAACGCUUUCUGAAACUGGGUGGGCAGACGAACUUGUGCCAGGAAGAACGUACAGACCAUGCUCACAGGGGCCCUGAAAAAUCACCCUCUUGGUAGUAUUGUCUAGGAUCUGAAAAUCAUUAGAGGUGAACAAGAGUGAGCAAUUAUUGGCUUUUGUGAAUUGGUGAACUGAAAGGAGAUUGGUUUUAAUAGAAGGGACGUUGGUAAGGUUACCUAGGUGAAAGAUAGCGGUGGGGGUUUUAAUGGUACCCGUGCCAGUGUGAGAAAUAUUAAGGGACUCACCGUUGCCAACAGUAACACCAUUGGAGCCAUGAUAUGAAUUUGGAGCGUUAAGCUUGGAUAGAUCAGAAGUAACGUGCAUGCUGCCGCCGCCCAAAAGAAGAGAGGGAACGAUCGGUGCCCUAAAGAGAGAAAAAAAACCUAGAGAAAAGAAGAUCUAGGUUUUCUGGCUCUUGAUACCAUGAAGGAAUAUUGAUUGUAUUGAAGUGUUAACCUCAUAAGGGAACACAUGGGAGAUAUAUAUAAGAGAUAUAGGAAGGAGUACUAAUCCUAAUAGGACUAGGAUUAAGGAGUACUAAUUCUAAUAGGACUAGGAUUAGUACACAGUAAAUACUAAUAUUAUUUAAUACUAUUUAUUUAAUACUGUAUGUUAUUAGGUUACAAUAUUUUUCAGACAGUUUUUUUUUAUAUUGCACAUUACUUUAAAUUGUCUUAUAUUGAAAUGUGUAGUUAUCCAUGAGUUGAGCAGAGCCAAACUAAGUAUUUCUUCUUACUCCAUUUCAAGCUUAAGUGUUGUUAGCAUUCCAACUUGCGUACUUGUACAUUCAUUAUACUGAUGCCAGUUGACCUGCAUCGUAUUAUGAUGCAGAUGCAGGUAACUAGGAUCAGAUUUUGGCAUGCCGUUGAUCCAGUGAGCAGCUCAGAUUCUGUUGUUAAUACUCUCUUUAUUUUGGAGGACAUCCUUAUGAUUUAGCUAUUUGAUUUAGUUUUCAGUUUUUAGGAUGAUCGGGGGUCCUGUCCCAACAUCCAUCUCUAUUUUAGAGGCUUAAUAGAUAGAAAAUUUUAGUUUUCCUUGGUCCAUUUCAUUUGUAAGGCUUGAAGUUGUCAUUUUAGCUAAG
rnacentral:lncRNA from 1 species